rnacentral:tRNA from 1 species
AGGGGAUUAGUUUAGUGGUAGAACUGAGGACUCCAAACCCUCAUGUGCGGGUUCGAUUCCUGCAUCCCCUGCCA